GAAAACUUACAAGAAUACAAGGGGAAUACCCCAGGCCCUAACAAAGCUAUACAAAAUUUACCAACUAUAUAUAACUAGCUAGCACAAACAAAACAAGCCUAUCAAAGCAGCCACAAAUUUGUUAGCAUAUUGGUGCCAUACUGGUAGCAAAUCUAUUAGCAACAAUCUGUUAGCAAAAACUAGCAUACUAGCUGCCUCCAUAACCCAGUUCAGAAGCACACACAAAAGAAGCCAAUCAAUGUUAUGUUUUUCCAUAGCAGCCACAUACACCAAUAUACAUAAACCAAAAGCUUAAGAAAAUAAAAUAAGACCCCAAGCACAACCUGCAAGGGAAUAGGUAGAAGCCUUAGAAUAUGAGCAUAAAACCAGUUGAAAUUCAGCUCCAUACUUCCUAUCCAAAUGUGUAGCACCAUCAAAAUAAAAAAAGACAACUAUCAAGCACACUCCAUUCAUUGAACUGGAGCAGAUUGCAGCCUGGUUCAAGAUUGCAUUCCCCAUAUCUUUAUACUUCCAAGUUUCAACAUGACCUGUUAAGACCACCCACACAAAUCCAACCAAAGGGAACCAAAAGAGUAAUAACAGUGAGAAAAUCCUCCAAUUCAACAAACAAUUAAGGUCUUCCUUCACUAGAUCCAUAAUGAAAAAAUCCAUGUAAUAAGAUUGAAAUUCAGAGGACGACUCUUUCCAUUUCCAACAAUAUUGAAUUUCAUAAGCACACAGGUCUCUUCUCUUUACCUUCUGUUUCCGGUCGGAAGGAUUGGCUAGUACUUGAAGAAGGGUCGCUAUGCUCAGUGUGUCGGAACCAGAGGUUUGGUUUUUAUAGCCGUUGUACUUGAAUACCUAGCUACUGAAGUAACUCUCUCUCUCUCUGUUUCAAACUCUUUAUUGUAUAAUCAUCAUCAAGCCCUAACUCUUGAUUUGUUCUUCACUAAUUGUAAUUCUUCGUAUUCGCAAAGCUUCAGUUCGUAUAUCAAUGGUGAACUCGUUCUCUGUUCGAUUUGGAUCUAUGUUUUGAUUUGGUUAGGUUUAUCUGUUUUGUUUUCGAUUAGCAUUUUGGUUUAAUGGUUAGGGUUUUGUUUGAGACCUUUGUGUUUUUGCUAGUUUUUGAUGAAUUUGGGGGAAUUAUUUUGUCUCCGUCGAUUUGCUCUUUUGAAAACUUGUUUGAGGUGGUUCUGUUUGGUUAGUGAGAAAAUGCAAGGUUAUUGAAAACAAUUUAACAGCAGAUAAUGAAUUACCUUAUCUUUUCCCUAUGAAAAUAUCAUAGUUUGCCGAUAAAUUUCAAUUUUUUUUUUAAUAUUACAGUUACUAAACCUUUAGGUUCACCUCAAGUAGUCUGAGUUGGGUUCUAUUUGGUUAUUGAGAAAAUGACGGAAUUUCCACGUUAUGCCUCAGAAUACGAAGACACACACACACACACACACACACAAACUCUCUCUCUCUCUCUCUCUCUCUCUUGCUCUUGCUCUCACUCUCGCUCUCGCCUCACGUUACCCUCACAAUCUAUCUAUAGCAGUGGUGGCGGCGACUUCCCACUGGUUCUCCCUCUGACAUCCAGGUAUAUCUCUCAUCUACUCUCAUCUGUUGUUCUCUUCUCAUUUUCUGGAAGGAUGUUUGUAGUUUCUUUUGCUUUUUUUUUUUCCUUCUCUUUUCCCUAAGAAAAUUGUAUUUUAAUUUUAUUUGUUUAUUUAACUUUAUAUUAAAGGCUGAAUCUUAGUGGAAGAUCAAGAAAUGUUAUGUAGGGUUGUUUCUCAAGGUUGUUGGUUGAGAUAGAUAUGCUUUAGUCUCCACCAAAAAGUGAAAGGCAGUGGGUUUUGUCUGUGGAAGAAGGAAGCUAUAUCAAGCCAAGGCCAGAGGAGCAUGGGGGUUGAUAUCCACAUGUGAUUGUGUGUUAUGUGGUUGUAGAAAAGGAGCUUUUGGUGGUACAUUUCUUGUUGGAGAUGUUUGAUGGUGCCUUUAGGAGUCUUACUAAUAGGGAAAAACCUUGGGGCUAUUAUUUUUAUUUUAUAUUUUUGAGUGCGAGGGGUGCCUAAGGAAGAGUUUGUUGACAGAACCAGAAUUGAACCGAGGUUGGUCAUCAAUUUUGAGUAUGAACUAAAAAAAAAAAAAAAAUGUAAUUUGAACUGAACCAAAUUGAACUAAACUGUUGGUUGUCUGUCUUAUAAUGAAUAUUUUAGAAAUACUCAUUUGCCCGAAGCUACCAACUAGUGCAAAUUUUGUCUGUUAAAGGCUUAUUGAUCUGCUAAAAUCAAGACUUAGCUCAAAAGAUCUUGAGUUAUGCUAGCGAUGCUUGGUAGGUGGCUCAGUGGAGUAGUCGCUAGAACUUUCAUAAAGAGAAACAUAGAUAUUUCUUUAUACUUACAUGAAAGAAGUUCAAAAUUUUAGCUGAUGAAUUCAACACCCUUCAUUCAAAAUAGUCUAUGGAAUUAAUACAAAAGUUGUUGACAAGCUUUCAUACAGUUUCUCUUUUUGGAUGUGUCUGGACACACACAUGACAAAGUAUUUAGAAUUAUUAUUUUAUGCUAUGACCAAAUAGUUCAUCUUGCCCCAUUUUAACAUCAUGUUGCAGACAGAUGUAAACACGUGUUUAUUUAGGUGUACAUUAAUAAAUUUCCAAUUUUUUCUACCAUUUUACAGAUCUAAAAUGAUGGAUAUUAUUUGUAGUUGAGAACUAAAGAUGCUCUGCUAAAUGCUCUUCUUAUGGCUGCUAAAAGAUUUAGUUCAAGCCCCUCUCAGGUGGAACUGCUUCUUUCUUUCAGUGUGGAGAUGGGCUUUUCUUCAGUUAUACCUGUUGGUCACGAUGAUAGAGGCCUGCUUGCCUUAAAAACUGCACAGAGCGCAUGCUUCACCAAAUUUUGUCAAUGUCAGAAAUUUCUUGGAGAAGUGCAAAAUAUGGUCAAAAAUUUCAAAAAAUUAGUUUUUCAAGCUUUUUUAUUUUUUAAUAUAUGUAAACACAGUUCAAAACUUUUUAUGUAAUUCAUUUGUAUCUACUUUUAAACAUAUUUAACUUUCAUUCAUGAAAUAUAUAACGUUAUUCCAUUU